AUUGAACGCUGGCGGCAGGCUUAACACAUGCAAGUCGAGCGGAGCGAGGGUGCUUGCACCUUAGCUUAGCGGCGGACGGGUGAGUAAUGCUUAGGAAUCUGCCUAUUAGUGGGGGACAACAUUCCGAAAGGAAUACUAAUACCGCAUACGCCCUACGGGGGAAAGCAGGGGAUCUUCGGACCUUGCGCUAAUAGAUGAGCCUAAGUCGGAUUAGCUAGUUGGGGGGGUACAGGCCUACCAAGGCGACGAUCUGUAGCGGGUCUGAGAGGAUGAUCCGCCACACUGGGACUGGAACACGGCCCAGACUCCUACGGGAGGCAGCAGUAGGGAAUAUAGGACAAUGGGCGGAAGCCUGAUCCAGCCAUGCCGCGUGUGUGAAGAAGGCCUUUUGGUUGUAAAGCACUUUAAGCGAGGAGGAGGCUACUUAGAUUAAUACUCUGGGAUAGUGGACGUUACUCGCAGAAUAAGCACCGGCUAACUCUGUGCCAGCCGCCGCCGUAA
rnacentral:rRNA from 1 species